AAACAACUAUAACCGCACAGAACAGGUUGACAAAGGUUUUGAUACCUACCUAGGAUGGCGAGUCUGAGUAUAUGA
rfam:Bacillus wakoensis JCM 9140 DNA, contig:contig_60.